UACAGAGGUCCCGAGCGUUGUUCGGAUUCACUGGGCGUAAAGGGUGCGUAGGUGGUUGUGCAAGUCUGAUGUGAAAUCUCCGGGCUUAACCCGGAAAUGGCAUUGGAAACUGCAUGGCUAGAGUGUUGGAGGGGGGACUGGAAUUCUCGGUGUAGCAGUGAAAUGCGUAGAUAUCGAGAGGAACACCGGUGGCGAAGGCGGCAUCCUGGACCGAGAUUGACGCUGAGGCGCGAAAGCUAGGGUAGCAAACGGG
rnacentral:rRNA from 1 species